GUAAUCUCAACUUGGCUUGGGAGUUUUCUUUCAAGUUGAAGUUUGGACUUUGGAGAGUGCUGGCUUUUUGUAAACCUGCUCCUCUGAAAAGCAUUAGCAAAAUAGCUGAUUGGGCUUGAUCACGCUUUGUGAGCAUUGAUAAAAUCCACAUCACAUGCCACUCGUUGAAUGAGUCCUUUCACAUUUGUUUUGCCAAAUUGAACAUUUUGAAAC
rnacentral:misc_RNA from 1 species